GACGAACGCUGGCGGCGUGCUUAACACAUGCAAGUCGAACGAAAAGAGGGAAAGAGCUUGCUCUUUCCGGAAUUGAGUGGCAAACGGGUGAGUAACACGUAAACAACCUGCCUUCAGGAUGGGGACAACAGACGGAAACGACUGCUAAUACCGAAUAAGUUCCAAGAGCCGCAUGGCCCAUGGAAGAAAAGGUGGCCUCUACCUGUAAGCUAUCGCCUGUAGAGGGGUUUGCGUCUGAUUAGCUGGUUGGAGGGGUAACGGCCCACCAAGGCGACGAUCAGUAGCAGGACUGAGAGGAUGGACGGCCACACUGGAACGGAGACACGGUCCAGAGGCCUACGGGAGGCAGCAGUGGGGAAUCGGCCGCAAUGGGCGGAAGCCUGACGGAGCAACGCCGCGUGAGUGAUGACGGCCUUCGGGUUGUAAAACUCUGUGUUCCGGGACGAAAAGGCAGAGUGCGAAGAACAAACUGCAUUGACGGUACCGGAAAAGCAAGCCACGGCUAACUACGUG
rnacentral:rRNA from 1 species